ACAAAAAAGCUUGAAUCCAUCCAAAAACACAAAAAAGCUUAAUGUCGUCAUAGAGACUUUCUUUCUAAUUCUCAUGGUAACUCUGUCCCUCAUCAUCUUCCUAAAAUGAUUUCAACCCUUGCUCAUUCUUCUCUUUCUGAUUCUCAAUCUCUAUCUUUAAAGGUAAGCUUUGACAUGAGAUCCUUUUAGUUUUCUUAUCUAUAAUUUCUUUUUGAUUCUCAAUCUCUGUCUUGUUUUUUUGUAAUUGGGUUUUUAAAUUUAGAUAAUGAGGUCUUUAUUCAAUUUUGAUUUAAUUAUCAAUCUUCUUUCCAAUUUGGUUUUUAGUUCUUGUUUUUAUGUGAAUUGGAUUUUCAAUUUGGAUAAUGAGAUUUGAGUUGAUUUUUUAAUUCUAUUACUAAUUGUCUUUAUUUAUGGUUUUUGCCAAUUGGUUAGAAAUGGCUGAGAAAGAACUUGAAAGAAACGGUCGAGAAAGAUAUAUAGAAACUGUGGAGAAAGAGAUCGAAACAGUGGAGAGAGGUGUCGAGACAUUAGAGAGAGAAAUUAAGGGAGCAGUGAGCUUUGGACCAUUGACACAGGCUAGGAAUUCUAUGCUGCACUUUUGUCUCGAUAUUUUUUGCAAUUACAAUGUCUUAUGCAUAAAUCAGCAAUAAAGAGUGAAAUAAUAAACUUAUGAAAGCUAUUUUGUUUUAUAUAUGAUUGUCUCAUGUCAAGAGAAUAUAUGUGCUAG
rnacentral:lncRNA from 1 species